CACGUAGUUAGCCGGGGCUUCUUAGUCAGGUACCGUCAUUAUCUUUCCUGCUGAUAGAGCUUUACAUACCGAGAUACUUCCUCACUCACGCGGCGUCGCUGCAUCAGGGUUUCCCCCAUUGUGCAAUAUUCCCCACUGCUGCCUCCCGUAGGAGUCUGGGCCGUGUCUCAGUCCCAAUGUGGCCGUUCACCCUCUCAGGCCGGCUACUGAUCGUCGCUUUGGUGGGCCGUUACCCCGCCAACUGGCUAAUCAGACGCGGAUCCAUCGUAUACCACCGGAGUUUUUCACACCGCCCCAUGCGGAGCUGUGCGCUCAUGCGGUAUUAGCACCUAUUCUAAGUGUUAUCCCCCGGUAUACGGCAGGUUAUCCACGCGUUACUCACCCGUCCGCCACUAACUCAUAAAUCACUAGGUUCAGUAUGAGUCCGUUCGACUUGCAUGUGUUAGCACGCCGCAGCGUUUCAUCCUGAGCCAGGAUCAAACUCU
rnacentral:rRNA from 1 species